rnacentral:lncRNA from 13 species
CGCAGAGCGGGGGACAGACAGACGAGCAACUAACAUAAUACAUUAUUUCUGAUUUCUGCGCAUAAAAAUGAGCACGGGAGGGGAGUGAUUCUUAUCGGGACAGGACAGGAAUGUUAUAGAACUGUUGCAGGAUCAGGACAAUACGGGGAAAAACUGACAGGACAAGACAAGACAUGACUUGAUUUUCACUCCCGUGUCAACUUCUAGCAGGGAUGGAGGGAGAGGGCGAGAGAGAAGAAAAUGGGAGGGGAGAGAGAAGGAAAGAGAGAGAGGGAAGGUAAUAUUAUGUUAUUACAGUGUUACUGUGCUAUGAUGUAUUAUUAUUGCGUGAUGGGGAUAGACAACCCACCCCUGUCUCUGACUUUAAUCUUUUGGAAACAGGUUCCGCUCAGGUAAGCCCAACCAUAAAUGAUCCGCGUUAUCAUCAUACUGCAAGCCCGCAACAGCAUGAGAAUUUCAGUCUGGCUGAACUCCAAACUCCCCCUCAGCCCUGCUACCUCCUCACACAACUUGUCCAGUGUUGCAUGGAUUCCAGCCAGAGCACUAGCCUCUACCUCAAUGGUAAGUACAUCGUCCGUGUCUGUAGAUGAAUCUCUUUUUCUUUUUUUGUCUGGUUAAAGUUAUUUUGUGAGGUGGUCGGAUCUUUCCAUGAUGGAGUAUGUUGUUCCUCCAUAGCGUAAAGCUUUUGGUACUCGUCGAUUUCCCUCAGGAUCUUCUUAGUAUCCAGGUUGGCUCUUUACCUCAACCAGUUGUUUUAUGAAAAUAUGACAAUGAGUCUUUCCCAUGACGAUGACAGGUGUCUGUAGUACAGCCAGCUAGCACUCGCAGAAUCCAUGCAAAAAAAGGAACACAAACUUGCAAUCCCAGCCGUAAAGGUUAACCGCGUCGUGGAGUCCUUAGCAACAAAACUUUCAUUUGGAUUAAAAUCGAUUUAAUGAAUUAAAAAAAAUAUAGCAGAGUGAUAUAAUAUAACAGAGUGUAGACAGAAAAAAAUUCUGUUGCAUGCUAUGAUGACAAUCUCGCUCUCAGUCAAUCAUCAGUCAUUUGUGUAAGUCUGUGACAGUGUUUCCUAAGUCUGUGACAGUGUUUCCUAGCCUCAGUGGGGUGGGCAGCAGGGAGGAGGUGCUCUUAUCCUCCAUGGACUUCACAGUGUCCCAAAACGUUUUGGAAUUAGUGCUACAGGAUGCAAAUUUCAGUUUGAAAAAGUUAGCCUUUGCUUUCCUAACUGACUGUGUAUAUUGGUUCCUGACUUCCCUGAAAUGUUG